rnacentral:rRNA from 1 species
GGGUUGUGAGGUUAAGCGACUAAGCGUACACGGUGGAUGCCCUGGCAGUCAGAGGCGAUGAAGGACGUGCUAAUCUGCGAUAAGCGUCGGUAAGGUGAUAUGAACCGUUAUAACCGGCGAUUUCCGAAUGGGGAAACCCAGUGUGAUUCGUCACACUAUCAUUAACUGAAUCCAUAGGUUAAUGAGGCGAACCGGGGGAACUGAAACAUCUAAGUACCCCGAGGAAAAGAAAUCAACCGAGAUUCCCCCAGUAGCGGCGAGCGAACGGGGAGCAGCCCAGAGCCUGAAUCAGUGUGUGUGUUAGUGGAAGCGUCUGGAAAGGCGCGCGAUACAGGGUGACAGCCCCGUACACAAAAAUGCACAUAUUGUGAGCUCGAUGAGUAGGGCGGGACACGUGGUAUCCUGUCUGAAUAUGGGGGGACCAUCCUCCAAGGCUAAAUACUCCUGACUGACCGAUAGUGAACCAGUACCGUGAGGGAAAGGCGAAAAGAACCCCGGCGAGGGGAGUGAAAAAGAACCUGAAACCGUGUACGUACAAGCAGUGGGAGCACGCUUCGGCGUGUGACUGCGUACCUUUUGUAUAAUGGGUCAGCGACUUAUAUUCUGUAGCAAGGUUAACCGAAUAGGGGAGCCGAAGGGAAACCGAGUCUUAACUGGGCGUUAAGUUGCAGGGUAUAGACCCGAAACCCGGUGAUCUAGCCAUGGGCAGGUUGAAGGUUGGGUAACACUAACUGGAGGACCGAACCGACUAAUGUUGAAAAAUUAGCGGAUGACUUGUGGCUGGGGGUGAAAGGCCAAUCAAACCGGGAGAUAGCUGGUUCUCCCCGAAAGCUAUUUAGGUAGCGCCUCGUGAAUUCAUCUCCGGGGGUAGAGCACUGUUUCGGCAAGGGGGUCAUCCCGACUUACCAACCCGAUGCAAACUGCGAAUACCGGAGAAUGUUAUCACGGGAGACACACGGCGGGUGCUAACGUCCGUCGUGAAGAGGGAAACAACCCAGACCGCCAGCUAAGGUCCCAAAGUCAUGGUUAAGUGGGAAACGAUGUGGGAAGGCCCAGACAGCCAGGAUGUUGGCUUAGAAGCAGCCAUCAUUUAAAGAAAGCGUAAUAGCUCACUGGUCGAGUCGGCCUGCGCGGAAGAUGUAACGGGGCUAAACCAUGCACCGAAGCUGCGGCAGCGACACUAUGUGUUGUUGGGUAGGGGAGCGUUCUGUAAGCCUGUGAAGGUGUGCUGUGAGGUAUGCUGGAGGUAUCAGAAGUGCGAAUGCUGACAUAAGUAACGAUAAAGCGGGUGAAAAGCCCGCUCGCCGGAAGACCAAGGGUUCCUGUCCAACGUUAAUCGGGGCAGGGUGAGUCGACCCCUAAGGCGAGGCCGAAAGGCGUAGUCGAUGGGAAACAGGUUAAUAUUCCUGUACUUGGUGUUACUGCGAAGGGGGGACGGAGAAGGCUAUGUUGGCCGGGCGACGGUUGUCCCGGUUUAAGCGUGUAGGCUGGUUUUCCAGGCAAAUCCGGAAAAUCAAGGCUGAGGCGUGAUGACGAGGCACUACGGUGCUGAAGCAACAAAUGCCCUGCUUCCAGGAAAAGCCUCUAAGCAUCAGGUAACAUCAAAUCGUACCCCAAACCGACACAGGUGGUCAGGUAGAGAAUACCAAGGCGCUUGAGAGAACUCGGGUGAAGGAACUAGGCAAAAUGGUGCCGUAACUUCGGGAGAAGGCACGCUGAUAUGUAGGUGAGGUCCCUCGCGGAUGGAGCUGAAAUCAGUCGAAGAUACCAGCUGGCUGCAACUGUUUAUUAAAAACACAGCACUGUGCAAACACGAAAGUGGACGUAUACGGUGUGACGCCUGCCCGGUGCCGGAAGGUUAAUUGAUGGGGUCAGCGCAAGCGAAGCUCUUGAUCGAAGCCCCGGUAAACGGCGGCCGUAACUAUAACGGUCCUAAGGUAGCGAAAUUCCUUGUCGGGUAAGUUCCGACCUGCACGAAUGGCGUAAUGAUGGCCAGGCUGUCUCCACCCGAGACUCAGUGAAAUUGAACUCGCUGUGAAGAUGCAGUGUACCCGCGGCAAGACGGAAAGACCCCGUGAACCUUUACUAUAGCUUGACACUGAACAUUGAGCCUUGAUGUGUAGGAUAGGUGGGAGGCUUAGAAGUGUGGACGCCAGUCUGCAUGGAGCCGACCUUGAAAUACCACCCUUUAAUGUUUGAUGUUCUAACGUUGACCCGUGAUCCGGGUUGCGGACAGUGUCUGGUGGGUAGUUUGACUGGGGCGGUCUCCUCCUAAAGAGUAACGGAGGAGCACGAAGGUUGGCUAAUCCUGGUCGGACAUCAGGAGGUUAGUGCAAUGGCAUAAGCCAGCUUGACUGCGAGCGUGACGGCGCGAGCAGGUGCGAAAGCAGGUCAUAGUGAUCCGGUGGUUCUGAAUGGAAGGGCCAUCGCUCAACGGAUAAAAGGUACUCCGGGGAUAACAGGCUGAUACCGCCCAAGAGUUCAUAUCGACGGCGGUGUUUGGCACCUCGAUGUCGGCUCAUCACAUCCUGGGGCUGAAGUAGGUCCCAAGGGUAUGGCUGUUCGCCAUUUAAAGUGGUACGCGAGCUGGGUUUAGAACGUCGUGAGACAGUUCGGUCCCUAUCUGCCGUGGGCGCUGGAGAACUGAGGGGGGCUGCUCCUAGUACGAGAGGACCGGAGUGGACGCAUCACUGGUGUUCGGGUUGUCAUGCCAAUGGCACUGCCCGGUAGCUAAAUGCGGAAGAGAUAAGUGCUGAAAGCAUCUAAGCACGAAACUUGCCCCGAGAUGAGUUCUCCCUGACCCUUUAAGGGUCCUGAAGGAACGUUGAAGACGACGACGUUGAUAGGCCGGGUGUGUAAGCGCAGCGAUGCGUUGAGCUAACCGGUACUAAUGAACCGUGAGGCUUAACCUUACAACGCCGAAG